rnacentral:lncRNA from 1 species
UAACUAGAUAGAGAAUAAAAGAUAUGAAUAUAAUUAUAAACUAAAUGAGUUCAACAAGCGGAUAGAUAAUUAUACCGUAGUAGCAUUUUAGGUUGUCGAUUUAUAUUUAUACCACUGGGAAGGCUAAGUGUUAAACUAUAUUCUAUUAUAUUGAUAAGAAACUAUAUAGGAUGAAUAAAUGAUAUUACCCAAGUCGUAUAAUCUACUGAUAAUAGUCAGACGUCACAAGAUAAAUAUAGAUAAAUAAAAAUGGUCGCAUAAUCAUCAAGUAUCAUAAUUAAGGAUAAUCAUCAGAGCAUCUACUAGCCAUAAUAAUAAUAGUUAGCCAAUGGAUAAACUAGAAAGUUGAAUCCAUGGAACCAACGCAGCUGUCACCUACGUAGACUACCACACGACCCAGCACGUCAAGGUGCACUCGCACACAAGAUAUCUAGACACCAGCCUACAUAUUGUCUAUCAUCUACCCAACGAUCGAUUAGGUAAACGCUAUACGAGCAAUUACAUGAAUUCAAUAGGAUCAAACCAACUACCUAGACAUAUAAUCAAAGUCGACAAUGACUAAUGCAAUUAAGAACAUAUGAAUCUAUUAAGAAUAAAGUCUCGCUAAUAUACAAUUAAAUACUAUAAAGUAAGAACUAGAUCUAUUACCGAACAUUGCGCUCCAGAUCUCGAUGAAGAACUAGAUCUCCUCUACUUCUAAUCUAACUAACUAGAACUAUGAAAUAGUGUAACACCCUAAAAUUUGUUCCUUUGGAAAUAAAGCUAAUUUGAUUUAAUUUGUAUUUUGUGCUCAUGAAAAUAUAGGAAAAAUAAUAUUUUUCAUUUGAAUAAAAUUUAUCAUAGGAUUUAGCAACUUGUUUGUGCAUUCAUUUUGGAGCAUUUAUUUUCAUUGUAUUGUGUGAAUUUGGGUAAAGUCAAAAUAUUUUCAAAUUGAUUUUAAAUUGUUUUGAAAAGGCUUUGAAAUAAAAAGAGAACAAGCAAAAGAAAAAAAAGAAAAAAAAACCUUCCCGUCUCCUCUUCGGCCCGAAAUGCAACAGGCCGGCCCAAGCCGAGCUGCCCUUCUCUUCUUCCCACUGUCAGCCGGGCCCCUCACGUCAGCUGUCUUCUUCCUUGGAUCGUAACUGAACCGGACACCUACCGAAGCCAAUCAAGCGACCAAACACGAUUUGGGUAGGAUUUGCUCCCUCCAAACGCGCGUACGCCACCGCUAUAAAGACCCAAAUCGUCUCCGCGUUUCUUUUCCCGUUUUCACGACCCUGGAGGUGCCCUAGCUCGCGGUUUGGAUCUCGACGAAAAGCACACGAAGCUGCCGCCAUGGAACGCCCUAUUCGCGGUCGUGCCGUCGGAUUUGAGUAGUGGCCGAGCAGCACGACGUGGUAACGAAACUCCGAAGUUCUUUUUUCGAACCUUCUACCGGUCUCGGUGUCUUCCUAACCCUCACUGAUGUUGCAGUGACUCGACCGGCCGCCAUACCGAGCGCUGCACCGUUCCCGCGUCUUCCUCGUCCUUGUUUUCGUCGUAGGUGAGUUCGCGAUCCUCUUCUUUGGUCCCUGUGCUCUCAGAUUGAGGAACGGUGCACUAAAUCGUUGAAACCAUGAACUCCGGUGAGGUUCCGGUGUAUUCCGGCCAUGGAGCCACCGUGCAGCCCCUGUGCGCCACCGGUAGUUGCUCUCCCCUUCUCUGGAUGUGUUCUGGACCAUCGGAUCGAUAUUCAACGGCUCAUAACAUUACAUACCCCUUCAUUCGUGUUUUUGCUAAAGAGCCCCUGGAGGAUUUAAAUAUCGAACCCGCAGUCCAAAGCGGCACUGUGGAAUACGUGAACGGAUUUUGAAAACGUAUUUCACCUCGGCUUGAAUCAAAAUACGUUUUCAGUAAUUACAAUUUUGCCAUUGAAUUUGGUUUGUUCAUAAAAUGCUCAUUUUAACUCCGUUUUUGUCCAUUCAAAUUUCAUUAGAUUCGUAUUUACGAGCUCUACAUGUUAGAAGUCUUAUUUAUCUGUUUUGAAACUUUUUAUUUUCGUAGUAGCAUUUAAUUAAUUACUUUUCUAUAUAAAAUCUUAGAAAAUUCAUAUCUUCUUCGUUUUAACUCCGAUUUUCGUGAUCUUUAUGUUUGUGAGACUGUAGUGAUGCAUAGAAUAAUUUUAUAAACUUUUCUCACUUUUUCUAUAUGUUUGGUGUACUGUUCUAAUUGUACCCUUGUUUGUUUUGUGUAUGUUUGUCUCCGGAUAUUUGUGUGUGGUUGAUCGAUGAUCGAGUUUAGACGGAGAGCAGUUUUUGGUGAUCAAGAUUAGAGCUUGGACAACUAGUAAGACCAGCAGAGUUAGCAAGAUCAGCAAGAGCAGUUGGAUGAAGGCAAGUAUAACUUGGGACUAUCCUUGUUACCUAUACACAAUUAAUACAAUAUUUAUCAUAUGCAUGUGUCCACCUUGAUGACCUUAGCAAAAUCAUAGAUGUUUGUUGUCCUGAAUUCCUUGUUACCUAUUUUGGAUAUGCAUUUGGGUAGUUCUUGCUAGUGCUUGAAUAUAAUCCAUGAUCUUGUAACAUGAAUGUUUGGAUAUACAAUAAACAAUAAAAUAAGCUUUCUAGCAACUUGAAUAUAAAAGGGUGUAAAGAACUCUGGCAUUUGUUGGAUUGAUCUUGACCCUCCAUAAAGGCUUAUCCCUUGGCAAAAGCUGGGACAACUCGUAAAACCAUAAGGGCUAUAUGGCUUUAGUCAAGUAUGAGUAAUUUUUCUAGCUCGUUAGCGGUUACCCAUGUGGCGCAAUUGGGGAAUAGCAGACCGUGGAUUCCUACGGGUGAAUCACAUGGACUGACUAAUGAAACCAAGCGGCCCUAACUUGUUAGACGAACCUUUGAAAGACUUCAUAGUGAACCCUGCCGACCUUCCUUGGUAGUGGGUUAAGAGGUCGACGGGCCUCGAACGAAAGGGUAAAUCAUGACUCAUGGGUAAAGAUGUACAACCUCUGCAGAGUGUUAAAUCUGGUAUACUAGCCGUGCCCACGGAUACGGGCGGCCCGCAAAACUGACGGAAUAGAUGGACACUAAUGAACGUGAUUAAUGAUAAUAAAUGAUGGUUUAUUAUGUUGUUUAUAUGUGUUAUUCUUAAUUCUUGUAUACAUUGAUCAUGUGGUUAUGGGAUUUAAUAUGCUACCUUGAUAUUUGCUAUCCAAUAAUUAAAUAUGCUAUCUACAUAUACAAGCUAAAUGCAGUCAAACCAGUGUCAGCUAUUUGAGCCUCAUGAACCCCUGGUUAUACUUGUUGAGUACGAUAUGUGCUCACUCUUGCAAUUUCCCCCACACCUUAGGAGAAGUUUUGGGCUUGUGAUCAACCAGUCAGUUGGAUCCUGUGGAGAGGAGUUAAUACCCGAAGUUUAGAGUUGUCUAUCCGCUGUUUGCUAUUAAAGGUUAUCUCUUUUAUACUAAGUACGUUAUAUAUUUAUGCAUUGUCUUUUGAUAUUACCCCUUAUUUGUAGCUAUAUGUAAGAUUUGGCCUUUAAGACUCACAUAUGGUGUAUAUCUGGUUUUGUUCUUAAAAUCUGGUAUUACAAAGUGGUAUCAAAGCAAUGUUGACUAUAGGACGCAAGCCUAGUUAGAAAUUGGUCGUCUUAAGGUUUUAGAAUUGUCAUAAAAUCCUUGCUCUAUAAACCUUGGUAUUUUCAUCCAUACUAUAUCUCUAUCCUUGCUAUUUGUCUCUACCUUGUUGCUUGUUUUAAAAGUACUUGUUCUCUACUUCACUCCUUGAUUUGGUAUGCUUUUAGAACCUUCUCUUACCACCUUCUUGCGUCUUCGAAAUAUAAGUUUUAGGAUCUUUACCCUUAAUAGUAAGAGAACGAUAGUAUCGCAAGUUGAGUCAAUGUUUGAAGUAUGAAACUUUAAUGCAUUGUUGGUUUGUCAUUAUGCUUAUGCUUGAUUUGGAUCUUUGUAAUGAGUGCAAUGAUCUUGUGGGAUUUCCUCACUUCAUUAGUUCAUAGGCCUAAGGCAUAAGGAUUAAUGAAAUAAGUAGUUGGGUUUGGAUAUCUCUUGUAUCUGUCCUUUGCGGUUUUCUAGAGCAGUCUGCAAUGAUUCUGCUGUAUCUCACGAUCUGAUCGUUUAAAGUUUAUCAAAAUAUUCUGGGAACAACUAGACUUCAAGAUCUUUCCCUGAACGCAAGAAGCACCCUCAUAGCUAUUAUGGUUUAGAAGUUACAAAAAUCACAAGAUGAUACAAAUGUGCUGUCAGGAAUCUGGACCAGUUUUGGUUGCCUACUGUUUUAGACAAAUAUAGCUAUAGAAUUUGGAAAAGUAUUCUAUAGAAAUGUUGUAGGCGAUUUUCUAGGCUUUCCAACAGUAUAAGCUGGAACUCAUUUGGAUAAGUAGAACCUGAGAUAUGACAUUUACACUUGGAUGUUUCUAUUCUGUUUCAAACUCUGGACAGAUCUGGCAUUUCCUAUUUUCAGUCAAGUUAAAGACAGAAUCUGGGAAAAAGUGGUAUACGAAAGUUGUAAAGGAUUUCCUAAGCUUUUCGAAAAUGUAAGGAUCAUCUCCAGAUGAGUUAAGUAGCUCGAGAUAUAACUUCUGGAAGUUACUGCACCUUUGCUGAGACAUUGUCAGGAUGGAUAAUAUGUUUGGCUAUGUUACCUAAGUUUAAAGACAGAACCUAAGGAGGUCUUCUACAUGAAAGAUGUAUGGAAUUUCAUAAGUUUUCUAACGGUAUGAGCUACAACUCUAUUGGAUUCACAGAAUAAGAGUUAUGUCUAUUUUACUAUGCUGGUGUUUUUCAUAUCAUAAGAAAGUUUCAGGAUAUUUGUUCUUCUCUUACACAUAAGUGCCUCGGGAUGUCAGAAGUUCUUAAUGUUAGUUAAAUUGUCUGGAAAACAUGCGAGCUACCUUUCUUGUGUCCCCUAGUUGACCCUUUUAAGGGGGGUAGCCUAAUUAAAGGAGUUAAAAUGAGAAGGAUUGGCUAAUGUUGGAUCAUAUGUGAGGAUCACAAGCGCUUGGUAAAUUGGUUUUGAUUCAAGAUAUCAUCCCAUUGAGAGAAUAUUAACAGAGAUAUAUGUCAUUGCUGAUACUCAUGGAUUAAGAGUUGUGUAUUAGGAUCAGAUGACACCAAAGUCUAUGGAGUUGUAUGUAUAGUGUGAGAGUGAAGCAACCUAACUGUGAUAAAGGUACCGAUAGUUGGAACUUAGUGAUGAAACUAACCUUGGAUCAAGAGACUCGGUACAACGAAUUUAAAAGACUAUAUAAUGUGUAGCGUCUAAAAAGGAUAGGAGAAGUAGUCUCUAGUGUUCCCCAAUAAAUAUCAUUUUAAGGGGGGUAGUACCCUGAUAUCACAGGAUGAUGCAUUUUGAAGUGAUAGUUGUCUUCUGAGAUAUCCUAUGGUUAUGAUCAACUAUCCUCGAUGAGUUACUGACAUUGGUCACUUGAUGACAGUGAGUGUGUCCAACGAGGAAGCGUUUGUUAGUUCGAACCCCAAGUGGAGAGAUACAAGCAUAUCAGGUUUGCUCAAAUAUCAAUUUUGUCAUAAGCAAGGAGAACUUCACUGUAAACCCCAUCGUGCUAGUGUCACUUGACAUUUCUUUGGUUCUUGGCAAUGGAUGGUUAUGUGCACAGGAGCGAUCUAUGCUACCCAGUGGAAAAUUUUCUUAACCACACCAUCAGGGAAAAGAAUUGAGUAUCAAGGUGGUCCACUCCUACCUGAGGAGGCAUAUCCAUGCUAAGUUUUCAUGUCUUGAGUUGUAUAAGUCAAAAAGUUGGUAGUCAAGAUGAACCUUGAUCAAUCACGAAUAAUAGACAUUUUAUGGAAGCGUUGUUCCUAAGUUGUGAUCCCGAGACAUAAGUGUUUAUAUUUGGAAUACAAGUUGUGAAGUUAUCAAUAUCUUGCUCUUGUUUCUCUUUUGGAAUCAGUGCCUCUUUCGAAUCUUGAGGACGAGAUUCAUUUUAGGGGGGUAGAUUUGUAACACCCUAAAAUUUGUUUCUUUGGAAAUAAAGCUAAUUUGAUUUAUUUUGUAUUUUGUGCUCAUGAAAAUAUAGGAAAAAUAAUAUUUUUCAUUUGAAUAAAAUUUAUCAUAGGAUUUAGCAACUUGUUUGUGCAUUCAUUUUGGAGCAUUUAUUUUCAUUGUAUUGUGUGAAUUUGGGUAAAGUCAAAAUAUUUUCAAACUGAUUUUAAAUUGUUUUGAAAAGGCUUUGAAAUAAAAAGAGAACAAGCAAAAGAAAAAAAAGAAAAAAAACCUUCCCGUCUCCUCUUCGGCCCGAAAUGCAACAGGCCGGCCCAAGCCGAGCUGCCCUUCUCUUCUUCCCACUGUCAGACGGGCCCCUCACGUCAGCUGUCUUCUUCCUUGGAUCGUAACUGAACCGGACACCUACCGAAGCCAAUCAAGCGACCAAACACGAUUUGGGUAGGAUUUGCUCCCUCCAAACGCGCGUACGCCACCGCUAUAAAGACCCAAAUCGUCUCCGCGUUUCUUUUCCCGUUUUCACGACCCUGGAGGUGCCCUAGCUCGCGGUUUGGAUCUCGACGAAAAGCACAGGAAGCUGCCGCCAUGGAGCGCCCUAUUCACGGUCGUGCCGUCGGAUUUGAGCAGUGGCCGAGCAGCACGACGUGGUAACGAAGCUCCGAAGUUCUUUUCGAACCUUCUACCGGUCUCGGUGUCUUCCUAACCCUCACCGAUGUUGCAGUGACUCGACC